UUUCGAUUCCACCACCAUUGCGCUCGCUCUCUAUUGUCACCGCCGUCGCCGAUUGCUCUUCGUUGUCACCGCCGUCGCCGAUUGCUCUCCGUUGUCACCGCCGUCGCCGAUUGCUCUCCGUUGUCACCGCCGUCGCCGAUUACUCUCUGUUGUCACCGCCUUCUCCAUUGCCAAAUCAUCUGCAUUGCGGUUUGAUUUUCUUUUCUCUCUCUUUCUCUGUCUCCGAUCGAUCUCUCAGUUUACGUCAUCGCAGUUUUGGUUUCGUUUCUCGCACUUUCGGUAACGUCACACUCCGAUUUCUGGAUUCACUUUUGGUCUCCAAACACGUGAAAUCCUUAGUCGAAAUUCGAUCCAGUUUGACGCAAUUCCUCAAAUCUGAAUCAGUAUCCAUUAUUCAAUCAAUCGCCGCAGAAUACAUCAACGAUAAGCUUCUCGUUAGAGUUCUCCCUUUCGCUCUCGUUGAAGAUCAAGAGGUACUUCUACGAGUUGUUUGGCUUUGAGAUACGAGGCUUUAGUUAUUCGAGAAAUCAAAUCCGCUAGGUUUCAAUUGCUUCAAGUUUCGCCCGUAGAAUGGUUAAAAUUUGUGGAGGAUGCUGUGCAGAACGGUUUUCAUGCAGAUGCAGACUUGCAGUUAAGGCUUUCUUUGACUUCACUGUCCCUUCUGUUUGGUCUUCCUGAGUUCUCUCACCUUGGUUGGGGCCACUGGUUUACAUUGAGGGACUUAGAACUUGUUUAUCAAGGCCAGCUGAUCAAUGGGAAUCCAGUGGCUAUUAAGAUGCUACUAAAUAAUAUUGGACAAGCUGAAAAGGAAUUUAGAGUGGAUGUUUAGGCUAUUGGGCAUGUGAGGCACAAGAACUUGGUUAGACUUUUGGGUGUUUACAUUGAAGGCGGUCGCAGGCUGGCUUACUUGCACGAAGGCUCACAAGUCGACAUUGGAGGCUGCCAUUACCGAGUACAUGCAGCAACCAAAACAGAGGGUGAGACUCUUGUCAUGGAAGACAAGACCACUUUUGGAGGAAGUUGAAUUGGUUAAGAACGACAUCAGGGAACUUGGGCACUGCAUAUUGAUUUGCACAACGCUCAUGAUAUAUCUACAAGUUGAUAAAUUAGCAGGGUAGAUAAGUCAUGUAGAUACUAGUUCUAAAUUCUUUUACGGUUGUGUUGUUGGUGCCUCAAUAUUAAAAGUUGACUGGCUUACUGAUUUAUUUAUUUCAGUCAUGAUGCUGCAAGUUGCUUAAUUAGUUUGCAGAUUUAAGAGGGAUAAUCUUGUUGUAUUACUUAUAUAAAGUUCGGUCGAUACAAUCUGGGUUAUCUUGAUGUGUCUAUUUUGUGGUAUGAGAGCAAGGACUUGGGUAGUGGUUACAUUGUAAUGUUUUGAUUUAAUUGAGGUUUCAUUUCGUUGAUCUAUAUCUCGGUAAUGUUAUUCAUCGUCCAUCUCUUGUUUAUAAUUGAAGUGUUUCCUUAGAUCAUUACAAGUGUGGCAUAUUGGGUAAUUAUUUGACUUAUGUUCCUAUAUUUUUUUUAUAUAUAUAUUUAAGCUACAAUGCUGAUAUGAUGCUAUUGUCCUUUAAUUUUUUACGAUUCAGGGUAAUAAGGUUUAUGAUAAAGUUUGAAGGUUCAUUCAAAAGUGGCAACAGUGGCUGCUUUGUUUUAGAACAUGUUGAGCAUGAGCGACCUGAGGUAAUUGUUUGUAGAGAUUUAUGUAACCUUGUCUGAUUUUGUAUCUUUGCGUUUCCGUCAAUGUUCUCUGUGUCUUAUCGAUUUGCUUCUCUGUUCUAAUUGAUCUGCAAUUAGAUCCAAUAUUGCAUCUGAUUUAUGUAAUCGCGUGUUUCUGUCAUCACUCUUUGUCUCCGAUUGAUUUUGACUUAGAGUUAGUUAAUGAUGAACUUUUAUUUUUAUCCCAAGUGAACCUUUAAUAGCUCAAACUAUUACAUUGACUAUAUGUUGUUAUAUGGUAUAAGGCAUGGUUUAUCCAAUAUAUAAGCUGAGUUUUGUUGAA